GACGAACGCUGGCGGCGUGCUUAACACAUGCAAGUCGAGCGGAAAGACCCUGCGUUUGUUGGGUGCUCGAUUGGCGAACGGGGGUGUAACACGUGAGUAACCUGCCCUUGACUUUGUGAUAACUUCAGGAGACUGCGGCUAAUACCGGAGAUGAGCUCCUGCUGCAUGUUGUUGGUUGGAAAGUGUCGGCUGUGGUGGAUCGACUCGCGGGUUAUCAGCUUGUUUGUGGGGUAGUGGCUGACCAAGGCUUUGAGGGGUAGCCUGCCUGAGAGGGUGACCGGCCACAUUGGGACUAAGAUACGGACCAGACUCCUACGGGAGGCAGCAGUGGGGAAUAUUGCAGAAUGGGGGGACGCCUGAUGCAGAAACGCCGGGUGCGGGAUGACGGCCUUCGGGUUGUAAACCGAUUUGGAAUGUGACGAAGAGUGCGUGACGGUAAUGGGUAAAGAAGCAACGGCUAACUACGUG
rnacentral:rRNA from 1 species